rnacentral:rRNA from 1 species
GAUGAACGCUGACAGAAUGCUUAACACAUGCAAGUCGAUGGGGAAGUGGUGCUUGCACCAUGGCAACCAUGGCGGACGGGUGAGUAACGCGUAAGGGACUUACCUGCAGGACUGGGAUAACAGGGGGAAACUCCUGACAAGACCGGAUAAUGUCAUGGAGCUGCAUGGCUUUAUGAUGAAAGGAGACGCCUGCGGAGAGCCUUGCGUCCUAUUAGCUAGUUGGUGAGGUAAUGGCUCACCAAGGCGAAGAUAGGUAGCCGGCCUGAGAGGGUGGACGGCCACAAGGGGACUGAGAUACGGCCCUUACUCCUACGGGAGGCAGCAGUGGGGAAUAUUGGACAAUGGGGGCAACCCUGAUCCAGCAAUUCUGUGUGCACGAAGAAGGUUUUCGGAUUGUAAAGUGCUUUCAGCAGGGAAGAAGUAAGUGACGGUACCUGCAGAAGAAGCGACGGCUAAAUACGUG